rnacentral:rRNA from 1 species
AAACCAACAGGGAUUGCCUUAGUAGCGGCGAGUGAAGCGGCAAGAGCUCAAAUUUGAAAUCUGGUACCUUCGGUGCCCGAGUUGUAAUUUGAAGAAAACAAUCUUGGGGUUGGCCUUUGUCUAUGUUCCUUGGAACAGGACGUCAUAGAGGGUGAGAAUCCCGUCUGAUGAGGUGUCCAAUCCUAUGUAAGAUGUUUUCGAAGAGUCGAGUUGUUUGGGAAUGCAGCUCUAAGUGGGUGGUAAAUUCCAUCUAAAGCUAAAUAUUGGCGAGAGACCGAUAGCGAACAAGUACUGUGAAGGAAAGAUGAAAAGAACUUUGAAAAGAGAGUGAAAAAGUACGUGAAAUUGUUGAAAGGGAAGGGUAUUUGAUCAGACUUGGUAUUUAGGUAUCAUAUCUCCUUGUGGGGUGUGCUCUAUCUUUUUACUGGGCCAGCAUCAGUUUUGGUGGUAAGAUAAUGACUGUUGAAUGUAGCUCUUUUGAGUGUUAUAGCCUCAGUUGAUAUUACCUACCGGGACUGAGGUCUGCGGCUUUGCCUAGGAUGCUGGCGUAAUGAUUAAAUACCGC